GUGGCUUCUCUUUUCUUCUCUCUCUUUUUCUGCAUUCUCUGCUCUCUCCAUUGUCCAGGUUUCUCUGGGACUUAAUUGUCAUAGAGGUAAGUAGAUAGACACACUGUUUUUUUUUUUUAAGACAUUGGUCCCUUACAAAAUGAGCCCUGCAAGAAAAGAACAAUGCUUAAUACAAAAUGUUGAAUGAUUAAUGAUGGCAUUUCAGAUACCUCUGAAAGGGCGACCGGGUUAGGGUGAAUGUUGCUCACAUCCCUCAAAUGAAGUCAUGCUUGUAAGAUCAAUUAUGACUAGGGAGUCAAGGCAGCCAGCUAUGAGUUUCAGGAAAUGUGCAUCCAUCUCUCCUUAAUAACGAUGCUACUUUGGCCAACUUAGUAGAUGUCUCUUGGUCUCAUUUUCCCGAUCUGUAAAAUGGAGGCAAUCAGCCUACCCCAUAAGUAUUGUGAGGAUACUAAAUGUCUCUUAGUUUUGUUUUCUCUACCUAAAAAAUAGGGGCAAUCAGCCUACUUCACUGCUUAAUUGUGAGGGUCAAAUGAGAUGAUAUAGAUAAUGCAUUUUUCCCAAUGCUCUCCAGGCAUAUUGCAUUUCAUACAAACUGGCUAUUAUUAUAAUCCAUGGUGACUCUUUCCAGAGACAAUCAAAAGAUUUUCAGAUAAGCUAGUGGAGUACCAAGAAGUGCCAAUGGGGAGUAGUUGCUCUUUCUACUGCUACAUUUGAUAAAUAUUACCAUAUAACCAACAAACAUCUUUCUCUCUCCCCAGGAUAAUUCAGUCUGGCACAUAGUAAAAGGCACAGAGGCACAGGGAGGCGUGCAGCUCCCCAGAGCACAGUAGGCCGGCGUGGAUAGCCAGAAAUCACUGAAAUCAACUCUGGAACUUAAUUCUGUUUUUGAGGACCUGGAUCCGCUACCACGACUCAGUGGUGAGUCGCCACCAUGUCAGCGGUUGACUUGGAAAACAAAGUCACAGAAAACAUUCAAAGGCUGGAUGGAAGGUCACAUGGGAAGAGCAGUCACUGUAUCAGGUUACAUCAUAGGCUGCUGACCAGCUGGCUGCUUUGGAACAAGUGCCCAUCCUUGGACCAAUCACUUGUAAUCACGAGGCAUGAGAAUGUACUACCGCACUGGUGGCUCAUCCAUAAGGAAGCACCAAGGUGCUGAUAUUUUCGAAGGCUCUGUGAGAUUGAUGAAAAUCUCUCAUCCUUUCCAAGCCUGCCUUGAGCCCCAGACUGUGGCCCAG